AACGAACGCUGGCGGCAGGCUUAACACAUGCAAGUCGAGCGCCCCGCUAGGGGAGCGGCAGACGGGUGAGUAACGCGUGGGAAUCUACCCAUCUCUACGGAAUAACGCAUGGAAACGUGUGCUAAUACGGUAUACGUCCUUCGGGAGAAAGAUUUAUCGGAGAUGGAUGAGCCCGCGUUGGAUUAGCUAGUUGGUGGGGUAAAGGCCUACCAAGGCGACGCUCCAUAGCUGGUCUGAGAGGAUGAUCAGCCACACUGGGACUGAGACACGGCCCAGACUCCUACGGGACGCAGCUGUGGGGAAUAUUGGACAAUGGGCGCAAGCCUGAUCCAGCCAUGCCGCGUGAGUGAUGAAGGCCCUAGGGUUGUAAAGCUCUUUCACCGGUGAAGAUAAUGACGGUAACCGGAGAAGAAGCCCCGGCUAACUUCGUGCCAGCCGCCGCGGUAAAAC
rnacentral:rRNA from 1 species